CCUACGGGAGGCUGCAGUGAGGAAUAUUGGUCAAUGGGCGCAAGCCUGAACCAGCCAAGUAGCGUGAAGGAUGACUGCCCUACGGGUUGUAAACUUCUUUUAUAAAGGAAUAAAGUGAGGCACGUGUGCCUUUUUGUAUGUACUUUAUGAAUAAGGAUCGGCGAACUCCGUGCCAGCAGCCGCGGUAAUACGGAGUGUCCGGGCGUUAUCCGGAUUUCUUGGGUUUAAAGGGAGCGUAGAUGGGUUGUUAAGUCAGUUGUGAAAGUUUGCGGCUCAACCGUAAAAUUGCAAUUGAUACUGGCAGUCUUGAGUACAGGUGAGGUAGGCGGAAUUCGUGGUGUAGCGGUGAAAUGCUUAGAUAUCACGAAGAACUCCGAUUGCGAAGGCAGCUUACUAAACUGCAACUGACAUUGAUGCUCGAAAGUGUGGGUAUCAAACAGGAUUAGAUACCCCGGUAGUC
rnacentral:rRNA from 1 species